rnacentral:rRNA from 1 species
CAGUCGCCACGGUAAUACGAAGGGGGCUAGCGUUGUUCGGAUUUACUGGGCGUAAAGGGUGCGUAGGCGGACUGAUAAGUCAGGGGCGAAAUCCCAAGGCUCAACCUUGGAACUGCCUUUGAUACUGUUAGUCUUGAGUUCGAGAGAGGUGAGUGGAACUGCGAGUGUAGAGGUGAAAUUCGUAGAUAUUGGGAAGAACACCGGUGGCGAAGGCGGCGACCUGGUCCUUUACUGACGCUGAGGCGCGAAAGCGUGGGGAGCAAACAGGAUUAGAUACCCCCGUAGUCCCUGUCUCUUAUAC